GCCUGGGUAGCUCAGUGGUAGAGCGUUGCCCUGAAGAGGCAAGCGUCGCCAGUUCGAUUCUGGCCCCAGGCA
rnacentral:tRNA from 1 species